AGCUCAGCUCUCUGCUUGGUGCCUUGUACAUAAUAGGCUCUUAGUAAAUGUGUGUUAAAUUGAACAACCAUUUAUGAAGUGCCUAUUAUGUACAAGUAACCUUUGAAUCAUGUGGCUGGG
rnacentral:precursor_RNA from 15 species